rnacentral:rRNA from 1 species
GAUGAACGCUAGCUACAGGCUUAACACAUGCAAGUCGAGGGGCAGCAUCAUCAAAGCUUGCUUUGAUGGAUGGCGACCGGCGCACGGGUGAGUAACACGUAUCCAACCUGCCGACAACACUGGGAUAGCCUUUCGAAAGAAAGAUUAAUACCGGAUGGUAUAGUUUUCCCGCAUGGGAUGAUUAUUAAAGAAUUUCGGUUGUCGAUGGGGAUGCGUUCCAUUAGGCAGUUGGCGGGGUAACGGCCCACCAAACCUACGAUGGAUAGGGGUUCUGAGAGGAAGGUCCCCCACAUUGGAACUGAGACACGGUCCAAACUCCUACGGGAGGCAGCAGUGAGGAAUAUUGGUCAAUGGACGAGAGUCUGAACCAGCCAAGUAGCGUGAAGGAUGACUGCCCUAUGGGUUGUAAACUUCUUUUAUACGGGAAUAAAGUGAGCCACGUGUGGUUUUUAGUAUGUACCGUAUGAAUA